GACGAACGCUGGCGGCGUGCUUAACACAUGCAAGUCGAACGGAAAGGCCCUGCUUUUGUGGGGUGCUCGAGUGGCGAACGGGUGAGUAACACGUGAGUAACCUGCCCUUGACUUUGGGAUAACUUCAGGAAACUGGGGCUAAUACCGGAUAGGAGCUCCUGCUGCAUGGGGGGGGUUGGAAAGUUUCGGCGGUUGGGGAUGGACUCGCGGCUUAUCCGCUUGUUGGGGGGGUAGGGGCUUACCAAGGCUUUGACGGGUAGCCGGCCUGGGAGGGGUGCCGGCCACCUUGGGACUGCGAUACGGCCCAGAAUCCUACGGGAGGCAGCAGGGGGGAAUAUUGCACAAUGGGCGGAAGCCUGAUGCAGCAACGCCGCGUGCGGGAUGACGGCCUUCGGGUUGUAAACCGCUUUCGCCUGUGACGAAGCGUGAGUGACGGUAAUGGGUAAAGAAGCACCGGCUAACUACGUG
rnacentral:rRNA from 1 species